UACGAAGGGGGCUAGCGUUGUUCGGAGUUACUGGGCGUAAAGGGCGCGUAGGCGGCGCACCAAGUCAGGCGUGAAAGCCCUGGGCUCAACCCGGGAAUUGCGCUUGAGACUAGAGGACUUGGGUACGGGAGAGGUGAGUGGAAUUCCGAGUGUAGAGGUGAAAUUCGUAGAUAUUCGGAAGAACACCAGUGGCGAAGGCGGCUCACUGGCCCGUUACCGACGCUCAGGCGCGACAGCGUGGGGAGCAAACAGG
rnacentral:rRNA from 1 species